rnacentral:tRNA from 1 species
UACACUUUAGUAUAGAUGUAUAAAAGUUUUUGGUUCUUUAGGAGGUAAUUUAUUUUACCAAGUGUAA